AGAUCCUCUGCUGUUUUCCCUCCACCUGCUGGUGUUUCUGUGCCCUCCAGAUGGUGUUGCUCCUCCCCCUUCUAUGACCACUUUUCAGCCAUAACCUUGUCUGAGGUCAAAGGAGGGGGUUGUGCAACCUCCAGAAAGGGAGAAAUUUGCAUGGAGCCCUACCACUCUGAGGAUACGCGUGACAGAUAAGAAGGGCUGGUGGGAUCAGUCCUGGUGGUAGCUCAGGAAGCAGAGCCUGGAGCAUCUCCACUAUGGCCUGGGCUCCACUACUUCUCACCCUCCUCGCUCACUGCACAGGUUCUUGGGCCAAUUUUAUGCUGACUCAGCCCCACUCUGUGUCGGAGUCUCCGGGGCAGACGGUAACCAUCUCCUGCACCCGCAGCAGUGGCAGCAUUGCCAGCAACUAUGUGCAGUGGUAUCAGCAGCGCCCGGGCAGUGCCCCCACCACUGUGAUCUAUGAGGAUAACCAAAGACCCUCUGGGGUCCCUGAUCGGUUCUCUGGCUCCAUCGACAGCUCCUCCAACUCUGCCUCCCUCACCAUCUCUGGACUGAAGACUGAGGACGAGGCUGACUACUACUGUCAGUCUUAUGAUAGCAGCAAUCACACAGUGCUCCAGACCCAUGGGGAAGUGAGACAGAAACUCCCCAGAGCAUCUCUACCUGGGCCAGUCUCAGCCUGUCUCCACCGGAGAGGGUAGCUCUCCCAUCUCUCCUGUCUAAGUGCUUGAGGUGAACUUUGCUUAUGACUUCCUCUUUUCCUUUUCAAAAUACCAAUCUGUUUUUCCACACCUUGAUGGCUGAUUUUCUGAUAUGUGCACGAUCAAUUGUGGGAUAAAUGUAGUUUAUAAUCGGGUCUCUGAGCCACACCAUGAUUGAUGUUCUGGUUGGGGCUGCCUUGCACAGUAUAAGAUAUUGACUUGCAUCUCUGGCCUCUACCCUUAGAUACUAUUAACACCCUCCCCUCAUUUGUGACAACAAGACUGUCUUGAGACACUGCCACAUGUCCCAUGCUUGGGGACAAAAUCAGCCCAGGUUGAGAUACUCAGUUAAAGAGCAUGUCUUCAGCUACUAAGAAGCUUGGCUUUGAAAUGUGUUUAUGCCAUUCUGCUGAGCAUGAGGCUGGUUUUCUAAUUUUUGUUUCUGGUUCCCAUCUAUGAGACAAAACAAUAACACCGAACUUCAAUGUUUUCAUGGUUGAAUGGUUUUUCCAAGCAACAAGAAGUGAGAGAUUGUGCUACUUAGAGGUGUAGAAGCCCUAACCAGAUCCUGUAACACAGAGUUUAGCUCUGACUAGGACAGCACACAAUGCCUUCCAUCAAUCUCCAACCCACAGCCCGCAGGCUGCAUGCAGCCCAGAAAGGCUUUGAAUGUGGCCCAACACAAAUUUGUAAACUUUCAUAAAACAUUAUGAUUUUUCUGCAAUUUUCUGUAGCUCACCAGCUAUUGAUACUAACAGUUAGUAUCAGUUUUAUGUGUGAUCCGAGACAAUUCUUCUUCCAUUGUGGCCCAGGGAAAUCAAAAGAUGGGACACCCCUGCUUUGCACUUUUGUACAAUGCACAUGGAAAUAUAAUAGAGCCUUCUUCCAUCUAAGGUCAUGUGACUCAGCCAUUGAAAGGUGGAAGUGCUGAAAUGAGCUCCAUAUGAACGGACCUUGAAAAAUUAUGCUCAGUGAAAGGAACAAAUGCAAAUAUCUAGAAAUGAAAUGUCUAGAAAUGACUGUAUUUAUAACAAAUGUCCAUGAUAGGUAAAUUCAUGGAGGCUGAAAAGAUCGAGAUUAUCCUCAAACCUUGUGAUAAUUUAGGUGAAAAGGAUGAUUUCAGAAUUGGAUAGAAAGUGAUCUACUUCAAAAAUAAGCUGGAAAUGCCUCCAUGAACAGAGGCGAUGCUUUGCGGAAUCCUAGGUAGAGAAGUGUAUCAGGUGCAGAUGAGGUCUUUAAGAAUACUUCUUGUUUUGUUUUGUAAAAUUAAAUAUGAAUAAGAACACUGUGGGCCAGGCGCGGUGGCUCACGCCUGUAAUCCCAGCACUUUGGGAGGCUGAGGCCGGUGGAUCACGAGAUCAGGAGAUUGAGACCAUCCUGGCUAACACAGUGAAAUCCUGUCUCUACUAAAAAUACAAAAAAAUUAGCCAGGCGUGGUGGCGGGCACCUGUAGUCCCAGCUACUCGGGAGGCUGAGGCAGGAGAAUGGCGUGAACCUGGGAGGCGGAGCUUGCAGUGAGCCGAGUUUGCGCCACUGCACUCCAGAGCCUGGCUGACAGAGCGAGACUCCGUCUCAAAAAACAAAACAAAACAAAAAAACACUGUGCUUGCUUGCUUACCU